rnacentral:rRNA from 1 species
GACGAACGCUGGCGGCGUGCCUAAUACAUGCAAGUUGAGCGCUGAAGGUUGGUACUUGUACCAACUGGAUGAGCAGCGAACGGGUGAGUAACGCGUGGGGAAUCUGCCUUUGAGCGGGGGACAACAUUUGGAAACGAAUGCUAAUACCGCAUAAAAACUUUAAACACAAGUUUUAAGUUUGAAAGAUGCAAUUGCAUCACUCAAAGAUGAUCCCGCGUUGUAUUAGCUAGUUGGUGAGGUAAAGGCUCACCAAGGCGAUGAUACAUAGCCGACCUGAGAGGGUGAGCGGCCACAUUGGGACGGAGACACGGCCCAAACUCCUGCGGGAGGCAGCAGUAGGGAAUCUUCGGCCAUGGACGAAAGUCUGACCGAGCAACGCCGCGUGAGUGAAGAAGGUUUUCGGAUCGUAAAACUCUGUUGGUAGAGAAGAACGUUGGUGAGAGUGGAAAGCUCAUCAAGUGACGGUAACUACCCAGAAAGGGACGGCUAACUACGUG